GUCUCAGUUCGGAUUGAAGGCUGAAAUUGCCUUCAUGAAGCCGGAAUUGCUAGUAAUGGCAGGUCAGCAUACUGCCGUGAAUACGUUCCCGGGCCUUGUACGCACCGCCCGUCACACCAUGAGAGUUGGGAAUACCCGAAGCCUGUGAGCUAACUUUUAGAGGCAGCAGUCGAAGGUAGAAUCAAUGAUUGGGGUGAAGUCGUAACAAGGUACC
rnacentral:rRNA from 1 species